UCGCAUCCGCCAACCGGUUCAGCCGUGUCGCGGAAGGUUUUCCAAACCAGCUAAUGUUUUCCCAAGGGAAACGAAAGUAGCG
rfam:Xylophilus sp. Leaf220 contig_2, whole genome shotgun sequence.